GUGUGUGUGUGUGUGUGUGUGUGUGUGUGUGUGUGUGUGUGUGUGUGUGUGUGUGUGUGUGUGUGUGUGUGUGUGUGUGUGUGUGUGUGUGUGUGUGUGUGUGUGUGUGUGUGUGUUGGUGUAAUUACGUUAUUAUGCAAUGCUGGCAUCAUGUGCACGGGGCUGCAGCCCACAUGUGAAACACGUUGACUCAAUCUGUCAUUUCUUUCAGCGGCGCGUCCUCGAAAAACCGACUCUCCACAGAUUCCCUCCGCGGUGUCUGUCCGUGUUUGUGUUUGACUCUGUGUACGUGUACCACCCCACCCUACAGGAAGGAACUGGUGCUGGUGUGUGUGGUGUUGUGGAGACAGUACCCCACCCUCCCCCUCCCCCCCCCCCCCCCCCCCCCUUAGGGAAGAGGCGGAGGGUCAACAAAAGAAAUUCCUUGGAUUCCUCGCCACUGACACUGUGGCACGAGCCCUCGUGCACACUCUCUCAGUCUCUCACUCCCUCGCUCUGAUGACCGGAGAGGAAUCCGUGGAAUCCGACUUCAUAGUAAAGCUGAGGGCUCGUAGUAAAGCUAGCGAUGGUUUCUCUGUCUGUGUGUGUGCGCAUGUGCACGCUAGUUUUACAAGGAAACGACAAAGGGAGUCGAUUGACAUGUUAUGUUCUGCUCCAUGGUGUCAAAUCGUGGCCUGCUGGCAUUGUUGACAGCUUAUGUUGAACCCUGUCGGUAAAAGGGUUUGUGUUUGGGGUUUUUAACAACAUUUCCCUACUAGUGAAAAUAUCAACAAGGGAUACAGCCGUGGCUUGUAUCCCGAUUUUAAGAACCAAAGCCGUCACUGAGGCCUAUUUUUCCAGAGAGGCUUAUAGAAAUGUUUCGCAAAUACAGAGAUUUCAAAGAAUAACAUCUGCACCAUACUCGUGCUUUGCGCUCGAGUGAUCAAACGUGAAGUUCCUAACGCUGUCACGAUGUAAAGCCCCCAUAUGCUCAUUUAUAUGAGAGGUCUGCGAGUGAAAUCAGUUUUAAAAGACUGCGCCGUCCAGUCUUUUGACGAAAUAAACAACCACAUACUGCGACCCUCCUCCGUUCUCAAGAAGCGAUUUUCCUUCGGCGUAUCUGCGCCUAGUCCUGCACAUCUAGGUCAGUGCUUUAGCCUGUGGCAGGUGUUCUCCAACCUCCAUCACUUCCAUAUAGAAUUACCCUCUCCACCUUGUCUGCCAUUUCCCAAUCCUGUCAAAGACCAGCUAGAUGGCCACUUACUAGCCCCCGCCGGCACCCCAGCCCACCAUGUUUACUGGACUCUCUUCCGUUUGUUUGAAACAAGCUCUGUUGGUGUAAACACCCAUUAGAAGAAGAUUCAUCCCCCAAAGGAGAAGCCACUCUCACUCUGUUAUUAGCUUCUGCACUGGCCAGAGUUAUCAUUGGGUCUCAGGAUCUGCCCUGGUUAAACGCUGCGGACUGUUUGUGUUUUCAUACAUUAUGUCCACCCGCCCCCCCCUGUCAUGAGACACGCCCUGAUUAGACGGCAGAGUCACGGAGGAGCGCUUGGAGAUUUUGGGAGGGCGGAUGUAGAUUGGAAAAAUUCUUCUCCUUUCCUCAGGAGACGAGGAGAGCCGGCAGCACUGCGAGGUCUUAUUUUAGCGCCUUGUUUCGAUGCAAAGACGCUGUUCCUUAAAAAGAAACCGCAGGACUUCAAAGAAGUCGGCAGCGUUAAAAGAUGUCAACACCUUGACUUGAUGUAACGUUACUGCUUCAUCAUGCUCCUGUAUGGCCUCUUAUAACGCAGAUUAUCUUGCGUAAACUCUCUGCCAACGGCUGAAUAAUGGAGAGAGUGAUAAAGGGAGAGAGAUGGAGAGCCUCCACCCUUUACCGCUAUUCAUAUUAGACCUGGCCAGGUUUCCUGCUAUUACCGGAACUGGAACUGGAGAGAGAGAAGCAAUAUGUAUCUAUAUCUCUUCUAGAGGCUGUAAUGGGUUUUGAUGGUGUUUCAGAGUGCAUACAGGUGUAUAAAUUGUGCAAUAUGGAUACCCUAAUUUUGAUGACACACUUUCUGAGAAUGUGGUUCCAUUCAGCUUUGCUUUGAUGGGCCUUAGUCUUGCUAAGCGACGAGACAAAUCAACAGAGUGCAACAUGUUUUGUGCUGUCCAAUAAGAAAUAAUGUAGUAAAUUACAACACAUUAAACAGUAAACAUUGAGGCGUCUUUAACCAAACCUAUUGAAACCUUUUGGUGUUGGCUAAAAAUGUAGCAGUGACGUAAUGGAAGACGUUGCAACACAGCGUUGCUAUGGAUAACCGCUUCAGUCAAGAUAUUUUCGACUUCAGCUAAAGCUUUAACCUCCUUCAAAUGCCACUUUAAGGAUCUUUACCCUGUUAGGAUCCGAUCCUAUUCCACUGAAAAAAUAGAGAAUGUGAUGCAAUGUUUGUUGAAGACGCAGAGUCCAAGAGAAGGCACAGCGGGAAAGGGACAGAGUGCACAUUAGACGGCUCAUCUUUCAAGAUGAAUGAAUAAAAGACAAGAGGGUGGGACUAGCCUGAAACGCCACCUGCUCCGGCAUUGACUCAAGACCUUCCCCCCUCCACAGUAGGCCGUGUGUGUGUGUGUGUGUGUGUGUGUGUGUGUGUGUGUGUGUGUGUGUGUGUGUGUGUGUGUGUGUGUGUGUGUGUGUGUGUGUGUGUGUGUGUGUGUGUGUGUGUGUAAAAACGCAUGUGCCUCCAACGUGACCAGCAUCAUGAUGUAAAGCCUAUUUUAGAUCGAAGAUUCGCGGCGAGACUGCUUGCAACAGAUCGCACGGUAACGUUCUGCCUUUCAGGUCGUCAGCUGCAGAAGUAAAGCUAGCUGAUCACGUUAGGCCAGGGGUGGUAAAUUAAUCAGCAUUUUCUAUAUCUAUUCACCUGGAGAGUGACUGAUAACCCUUUGCUUCUCGGCAUCAUGUAAAGCGAAUAUCAACGCAGUGAUCUUUCCUACGGUACCGUUAUCAUUCCCCCCCUUUGAACGUUCUCUGCGAUGUUCUGAAGCCGUUAUGUCUCGUCGUGAAUCUUUGAUCUGAACUGGGCGUUAAUCAUGCAUCUCUACAGUACGUAAUGACGGCCCUGAGUUGUUUUUUUGGAAUGCCACUGACCAAUGUGUGAUACUAACUAACAUGUAGUCUGAUUUGAGGAGUCACAAGCAUGCACACACACACACACACACACACACACACACACACACACACACACACACACACACACACACACACACACACACACACACACACACACACACACACACACACACACACAGGGCUCAUGCAUUAAUCAUAUUUAUUACACUGCCUUGUUGAGAACUCGAUCCUGCUGGGUCAACUCCGGCGUGCACCACUCUGUAUUUUUCUUAAUAUCCGACCGCAACUAUGAAUAACAGAUCAUUGCCAUGGACACAAUUUCCAAACGUAGAAUCUUUCCGACAAUUUUUACUAGAGGAUUUUAAAUCAAUAAAAUAAUUCAUUGUUAUA